rfam:Stegodyphus mimosarum contig100279, whole genome shotgun sequence.
GCCUGCGUGGUGUAGUUGUCAGCACGUUGGGCGUGUAUUUCAGAGGUCCGUGGUUCGAGUCCCGGCGAAGGCG